rnacentral:rRNA from 1 species
UGAGGAAUAUUGCGCAAUGGCCGAAAGGCUGACGCAGCAACGCCGCGUGAGGGAUGAAGCUUUUAGGAGCGUAAACCUCUGUUAGGAGGGACGAAUGAGUAAGUGUCGAAUAGGCACUUACUGUGACGGUACCUCCAGAGAAAGCCCCGGCUAACUCCGUGCCAGCAGCCGCGGUAAUACGGGGGGGGCAAGCGUUGUCCGGAAUCAUUGGGCGUAAAGGGCGCGUAGGUGGGAUGCUAAGUCUGUGGUGAAAGCUUGCGGCUUAACCGUAAGUCUGCCGUGGAUACUGGCAUUCUUGAGUUCGGAAGAGGGAAGUGGAAUUCCUGGUGUAGCGGUGAAAUGCGUAGAUAUCAGGAAGAACACCGGUGGCGAAGGCGGCUUCCUGGUCCGAUACUGACACUAAUGCGCGAAAGCGUGGGGAGCGAACA